AGUCGAGCGGUAACAGGAAUUAGCUUGCUAAUUUGCUGACGAGCGGCGGACGGGUGAGUAACGCGUAGGAAUCUGCCUGGUAGUGGGGGACAACAUGUGGAAACGCAUGCUAAUACCGCAUACGCCCUACGGGGGAAAGGAGGGGAUCUUCGGACCUUUCGCUAUCAGAUGAGCCUGCGUGAGAUUAGCUAGUUGGUGGGGUAAAGGCUCACCAAGGCGACGAUCUCUAGCUGGUCUGAGAGGAUGAUCAGCCACACUGGGACUGAGACACGGUCCGGACUCCUACGGGAGGCAGCAGUGGGGAAUAUUGCACAAUGGGCGCAAGCCUGAUGCAGCCAUGCCGCGUGUGUGAAGAAGGCCUUCGGGUUGUAAAGCACUUUCAGUAGGGAGGAAAGGUGCAAGAUUAAUACUCUUGUGCUGUGACGUUACCUACAGAAGAAGCACCGGCUAACUCCGUGCCAGCAGCCGCGGUAAUACGGAGGGUGCAAGCGUUAAUCGGAAUUACUGGGCGUAAAGCGCGCGUAGGCGGCUUGUUAAGCCAGAUGUGAAAGCCCCGGGCUUAACCUGGGAACUGCAUUUGGAACUGGCAGGCUAGAGUACAGAAGAGGGUGGCGGAAUUUCCUGUGUAGCGGUGAAAUGCGUAGAUAUAGGA
rnacentral:rRNA from 1 species